AGAAAUGUUUUUCUAGGAUGCUCCACACAUGUGCACUGAAGGAGAGUUAGUGUUCAACUGAUGCUGUUAGCAUUAUGAAGAAAUGCUGAUCCUGACAGACACUUUGAUGUGCUAAACUGAAUCCCAGCAGGCACAGCUACCAAGAGGAGCCCUGCAAAAACACGUCAAACAGGGUGCUGGCCACAAGCCUGAGAAGAUUGAGCUUGUCCCCUCACACCACUAAUGAGAGCAUGCCAAUCAACACCGUGGCUAAUUGGCUCCUCAGUCCACUGCUUCACCUUCCUGGCAGAUCUUUGAGGGUGAAAAAUUCCAGCAUUUUCAAGUUCACCUGAUUGCUGACUUCCCAAGGAAGAAGAUGCGAAGACAGAGGAGAGAGGAGCAGGACUCCCUUCAAGAGACAGGUCCUGGUCAGCCUAAUUGUGGAAGGUUUCAUUGCAAGAAUUGAAUGCUGAUCGAACUGAACCGCCCCAGCUGAGUGAAGCGUGACCUGUGUACACCUCUCCAUUGAACGGGAGUCACUUAGGUGAAUUACUGUUAAAACAGUAAAAAUCAAAGCAAUGCAAUCACAUUUACAAACUGAAGCUGCAUUUGGUGGAAGUACCUAAUUAGACAUCCAGGAGCAAACUGAGGGGUCUGCUUUUCAGCAGGGCCAAUUCACACUGAAUCUGAUGAAUGUGUGGGUGCCCCUGUGGCACAGGCUUGCCAAAGAGGGCUGCCUGGAGCAAGUCAAAUUGUGAUGUCCCAUUACUGCUUGCUAGCAGCAGCAUUUGUGCUUUUACCCCAGUUAAGGACAGGAAUAGUGUCUCAUGACCUGGAACCUCAAACCAAGGCUACACCUUUGUCAACCCCUCUUUCCAAACUACAUAGCAAGCACUUGAUCUGGAGAGGUGAGAAAUGCCUGUCAUCUGCAGGAGCUUCAGCUGGAUGGUGAAUGGCCCAGCAUGUUUCUGCCUGGAUCUCCUUGCUUAGGGAAAAAGGUCUGCUAGUAGUCUUAGCUGAUACCAGUCACAGCCUAGCAGCUCUGGAAUUCACAUUUUGAGAGCCUCAGUCAGGUCUCUGGUGUCACCCUAAUGACUAACACAUUAGCAGCUCUGAAAAUCCAUGUGCAAAGGAAUUACCUGCCUAAAGAGCACUGUGAAAAUCCAGUGUCAUGUGUCUUGUGUUAGUUUCUAAGAGCUGAGACACAGUCAUUGAAUGUUCAGUGUCUUGUCAUCUCUAUGCCACCACCGUAAAAGUGGAGUGAUUCACACCUGCUGGACAGGAAUGCAUGGGCUGAUUGAAAAGGGUAAGAGGUCUCUGUGUGGUUUGUAUUAAAUUUGUCGUGCCUCUUAGCAAGCAUGUUAGAGUUGUAUGGGAAGCAAUCUUGGCAUAGGAUGGGGGUGACCAAUGGCACUUCACGGUCUUGUGCCACUGAAGAACUGGAAAGUUGUUUGUCUGUAGAGGAAAAAGCCACAAACCCCAAAUCAAAAUUCACAUCCCAGCUAAAUACUAAAAUUCCCCCUCAACUGUAGGAUGGCUGUAGUACCAGUCCCCUGGUAAAUCUGAAUCCUGAAGAAAAGCUGUGCCACUGAACUCCAGCCCUCCACUGGUAUGAAGGACUGAAUUUCCUUUAUGAGCAACCAGAAUGGCUAUGCUUCCCUGAGACAGGGGAGGUGGUAGUCUUUGAAGGGGAACCUUCAAAAAAAGAGGUUUUAGCAUGACACUGAUUUUAUUAAAAUACUUGGCUCUUUAAAAAAAGUUUACCAGCCAGGCUUGAGUCUAAAAAGCAGAUGUGGUAGAUAUAAAUGAAAUAGAAAUAGUAAAGAGCUCAACAGUGACAGAUGGGAUGAGCCCAGGCUCUGGAGGCAACUCAAAAAAAUAAUCAGAUUGAAAAGUUGAAAGAAUUAAGACUUUAGGUAUGCAGGCAAAACU